rnacentral:rRNA from 1 species
AGCUUGCUCCCCUGAUUCAGCGGCGGACGGGUGAGUAACACGUGGGCAACCUGCCUGUAAGAUCGGGAUAACUCCGGGAAACCGGGGCUAAUACCGGAUGGUUCCUUCCUCCGCAUGGAGGAAGGCGGAAAGACGGUUUCGGCUGUCACUUACAGAUGGGCCCGCGGCGCAUUAGCUAGUUGGUGGGGUAACGGCCCACCAAGGCAACGAUGCG